rnacentral:lncRNA from 1 species
CCAACCUCCUCUACCACCCAACCACCAACCUCCGCCAACGCCCAGUCACCAACCGCCAAGUCCCCAACCGCCACCCCACCAGCCUCCACCCCACCCCCAGCUGCCAAGACCCCAACCGCCACACCCGCAGCCACUCCCUCGGCUUCCACCCAGGCGCCUCAGGCCUCCUCUCCUUCCUCCGCUCCAACCACCUCAUCCUCCGCCCCGACCACCUCCUCCUCCGCCCCCACCACCUCCUCCUCCGCCCCCACCACAUCGACCUCCGCCCCCACCACCUCGACCUCCGCUCCAUCCUCCGACUCUCCAUCCGGAGGCUCUCCCCCGGCACCACCCACUUCCUCGACACCGGCUUCCAGUCCGGCCACUGCCCCGGCCGGCGCGGCUACCACUCCUGCUGAGGCCCCGGCAUCGCCCUCUGGAGCAGUCAUGAAC